CAGCAGCCACGGGAAUACGUAGGGUGCAAGCGUUAAUCGGAAUUACUGGGCGUAAAGCGUGCGCAGGCGGUUCGGAAAGAAAGAUGUGAAAUCCCAGAGCUUAACUUUGGAACUGCAUUUAUAACUACCGGGCUAGAGUGUGUCAGAGGGGGGUGGAAUUCCACGUGUAGCAGUGAAAUGCGUAGAUAUGUGGAGGAACACCGAUGGCGAAGGCAGCCCCCUGGGAUAACACUGACGCUCAUGCACGAAAGCGUGGGGAGCAAACAGGAUUAGAUACCCCUGUAGUCCCUGUCUCUUAUAC
rnacentral:rRNA from 1 species